UAGGGAAUCUUCCACAAUGGACGAAAGUCUGAUGGAGCAACGCCGCGUGAGUGAUGAAGGGUUUCGGCUCGUAAAACUCUGUUGUUGGAGAAGAACAGGUGUCAGAGUAACUGUUGACAUCUUGACGGUAUCCAACCAGAAAGCCACGGCUAACUACGUGCCAGCAGCCGCGGUAAUACGUAGGUGGCAAGCGUUGUCCGGAUUUAUUGGGCGUAAAGCGAGCGCAGGCGGUUUCUUAGGUCUGAUGUGAAAGCCUUCGGCUUAACCGGAGAAGUGCAUCGGAAACCAGGAGACUUGAGUGCAGAAGAGGACAGUGGAACUCCAUGUGUAGCGGUGAAAUGCGUAGAUAUAUGGAAGAACACCAGUGGCGAAGGCGGCUGUCUGGUCUGUAACUGACGCUGAGGCUCGAAAGCAUGGGUAGCGAACAGGAUUAGAUACCCUGGUAGUCCAUGCCGUAAACGAUGAGUGCUAAGUGUUGGAGGGUUUCCGCCCUUCAGUGCUGCAGCUAACGCAUUA
rnacentral:rRNA from 1 species